rnacentral:rRNA from 1 species
UUUUAUGGAGAGUUUGAUCCUGGCUCAGGAUGAACGCUGGCGGCGUGCCUAAUACAUGCAAGUCGAGCGAACAGACGAGGAGCUUGCUCCUCUGACGUUAGCGGCGGACGGGUGAGUAACACGUGGAUAACCUACCUAUAAGACUGGGAUAACUUCGGGAAACCGGAGCUAAUACCGGAUAAUAUAUUGAACCGCAUGGUUCAAUAGUGAAAGACGGUUUUGCUGUCACUUAUAGAUGGAUCCGCGCCGCAUUAGCUAGUUGGUAAGGUAACGGCUUACCAAGGCAACGAUGCGUAGCCGACCUGAGAGGGUGAUCGGCCACACUGGAACUGAGACACGGUCCAGACUCCGUACGGGAGGCAGCAGU